ensembl:snoRNA small nucleolar RNA SNORD50
UAUCUAUGAUGAUCCUAUCCCAAACCUGAAUUUCUGUUGAAAAAACUUAAUACAGAUCUCAUUUUGGAGAU